UGGGUCGUCAACCGCACGAAGCCCAUGCCGUGUAUCAGCCUCGCUCGACCAUCUCCUUCCUUGCGCCGCAUACCACCCCGCAGCGCCUGCUCCGCUUCCCCAAUCUCUCCUCUGGCAUCGCCACCGGCAAAAGCGACCUUGAGCGGAGGGCCACUACCCCAAUUUCGAUCUCGAGUAGAGACGCCCCUCCUGGUGGAAUCCACGUGGUGGUCGGCAAGGAUAGCGGCGGCGGCAACUACUCUCUCACGCCGCGCUCUAGCUGCAUCCUCUCUCAGCGACGUCGUCAACCCCCUUGAUCCCUUGUCACCAUUCGCGCCUCGGAGAUGAUGAUGAUAUGUUCCACAUCAACCAGAUCUCUUUGUGGGAAGUCUCCCCUCCUUCCCACUUAGUCAAAUAUGGGACUGGUUACAGAGUCCGAAUCCAAGUCCAGUGUCUGCAAAGAUCCAGCGACCACGAGGGCACGCAGUUACUCAUCUGUGGCACAUCUUCUUGUUUUGGAUUCGGUCAAAAAAGGGUAGCCUAUUUUCAUCCCUAGCAAUUUCAUGUGCAUUUGUUGUAAAAAGUCUGUUGUAAAGUGGAACACUUGAUUCUUGGGAUAUUUCUUCUAUGAGGAUUUAAAGUA